UCAAAAGUUUCCCUUUACUUCAUCUGAUCUGGCAACCACUCUCCAGCUAAUUAUUGGUAAUAGCCUUUUUGAAUAAGCCAAUCAUAAUAGUUAAAGAACAACCCCCUGCCAUACGGAGCAGAAGCUGCCAGGCAGGUUUGCAGAAAGGAAACUAGCCUCAAAAAACUACAGCUUCAGGACAGUAAAAGGAAGAAAGAAAAUUAGCUGGACAUGAUGAUGUCGUAGCUGCAAACACCUCAUAAUGGAGUUUGAGGAAAAACGAGUUGAAGAGGAAUCCUUGAUCCAGUCUUCCCUGCCCCCAUGGAAAGGAGUGCCUGCUGAGCUGCUUCCAAACCUGGGAGGAGUUGGAGUUAUACAAAGAGGAACUGCAGACAAUACCUGCACUCUUGGCAGUUAAUAAGAUGGACUUGCCCGAUGCCCACGUUAACCUUGACGAACUGAUGAAGCAGCUCCAGAACCCCGCAGCCCUGGUUGCUGCUAUGAAAUGGCUAUGACAAGAUAUUUCUACCAUGGCCGAACAGAGACUAUGCUCGUGUACAGCCGAGGCAGUCAGCUGGUGCCAGUCCAUGCAGGAUCCCUCUACCAGUCCCCUCACACAGAGGGAAGAGAUGGGGCACGCAAAGGGCAAUGGAGCUGUUGAUGA